GACUGGGUGGCUCAAUGGCUAGAGCAUUGGACCUCAAAUCUGGCAGCCUUGAAUUCAAAUCUGGCUUCAGUCA
rnacentral:tRNA from 1 species